rnacentral:ncRNA from 2 species
AUUUAAGUGUGGGGGGACCAGUGUUACUGGUUGAGAUUGCGUCUGUAAGAUGCUGACCCUUGGAACCUGAUCUGGCUAAUACCAGCGAAGGGAACAUAUUUCAAGCAAUA